CACGCAUGAUCGUUUCGCGAUCGGCAUGUCAUGCAACUAAUGUCACGUAAAUGCAUGUUAUGCUGAGUUAC